CCUACGGGGAGCAGCAGUGAGGAAUAUUGGUCAAUGGCCGUAAGGCUGAACCAGCCAAGUCGCGUGAAGGAAGAAGGAUCUAUGGUUUGUAAACUUCUUUUAUAGGGGAAUAAAGGUAUCCACGUGUGGAUAUUUGCAUGUACCCUAUGAAUAAGCAUCGGCUAACUCCGUGCCAGCAGCCGCGGUAAUACGGAGGAUGCGAGCGUUAUCCGGAUUUAUUGGGUUUAAAGGGUGCGUAGGUUGUUUUUUAAGUCAGCGGGGAAAGUUUGUGGCUCAACCAUAAAAUUGCCGUUGAAACUGGAAGACUUGAGUGUGUUUGAGGUAGGCAGAAUGCGUGGUGUAGCGGUGAAAUGCAUAGAUAUCACGCAGAACUCCGAUUGCGAAGGCAGCUUACUAAGCCAUAACUGACACUGAAGCACGAAAGCGUGGGGAUCAAACAGGAUUAGAUACCCGAGUAGUC
rnacentral:rRNA from 1 species